rnacentral:rRNA from 1 species
CAGUCGAACGAAGCACUUUAUUUGAUUUCCUUCGGGACUGAUUAUUUUGUGACUGAGUGGCGGACGGGUGAGUAACGCGUGGGUAACCUGCCUUGUACAGGGGGAUAACAGUUGGAAACGGCUGCUAAUACCGCAUAAGCGCACAGCAUCGCAUGAUGCAGUGUGAAAAACUCCGGUGGUAUAAGAUGGACCCGCGUUGGAUUAGCUAGUUGGUGAGGUAACGGCCCACCAAGGCGACGAUCCAUAGCCGACCUGAGAGGGUGACCGGCCACAUUGGGACUGAGACACGGCCCAAACUCCUACGGGAGGCAGCAGUGGGGAAUAUUGCACAAUGGGCGAAAGCCUGAUGCAGCGACGCCGCGUGAGCGAAGAAGUAUUUCGGUAUGUAAAGCUCUAUCAGCAGGGAAGAUAAUGACGGUACCUGACUAAGAAGCACCGGCUAAAUACGUGCCAGCAGCCGCGGUAAUACGUAUGGUGCAAGCGUUAUCCGGAUUUACUGGGUGUAAAGGGAGCGCAGGCGGUGCGGCAAGUCUGAUGUGAAAGCCCGGGGCUCAACCCCGGUACUGCAUUGGAAACUGUCGUACUAGAGUGUCGGAGGGGUAAGCGGAGUUCCUAGUGUAGCGGUGAAAUGCGUAGAUAUUAGGAGGAACACCAGUGGCGAAGGCGGCUUACUGGACGAUAACUGACGCUGAGGCUCGAAAGCGUGNGGAGCAAACAGGAUUAGAUACCCUGGNAGUCCACGCCGUAAACGAUGAAUACUA